rnacentral:rRNA from 1 species
UACAGAGGUGGCAAGCGUUGUUCGGAAUCACUGGGCGUAAAGGGCGCGUAGGUGGCGAGCCAAGUCCAUGGUGAAAGCUCGAUGCUCAACAUCGAGUCGGCCACGGAUACUGGUGCGCUUGAGCACUGUAGAGGCUAAUGGAAUUCCGGGUGUAGCGGUGGAAUGCGUAGAGAUCCGGAAGAACACCGGUGACGAAGGCGGUUAGCUGGGCAGUUGCUGACACUGAGGCGCGACAGCGUGGGGAGCAAACAGG